rnacentral:rRNA from 1 species
GAUGAACGCUGGCGGUGUGCCUAAUACAUGCAAGUCGAGCGAACGGACGAGAAGCUUGCUUCUCUGAUGUUAGCGGCGGACGGGUGAGUAACACGUGGAUAACCUACCUAUAAGACUGGGAUAACUUCGGGAAACCGGAGCUAAUACCGGAUAAUAUUUUGAACCGCAUGGUUCAAAAGUGAAAGACGGUCUUGCUGUCACUUAUAGAUGGAUCCGCGCUGCAUUAGCUAGUUGGUAAGGUAACGGCUUACCAAGGCAACGAUGCAUAGCCGACCUGAGAGGGGGAUCGGCCACACUGGAACUGAGACACGGUCCAGACUCCUACGGGAGGCAGCAGUAGGGAAUCUUCCGCAAUGGGCGAAAGCCUGACGGAGCAACGCCGCGUGAGUGAUGAAGGUCUUCGGAUCGUAAAACUCUGUUAUUAGGGAAGAACAUAUGUGUAAGUAACUGUGCACAUCUUGACGGUACCUAAUCAGAAAGCCACGGCUAACUACGUG